GCUCGAAGGACAGCAGGAGAUGAGGCCAGAGUCCAGCCGAUCAGCCAGACCAAAUAUAGACACACUGGAACUUGCUUAAAGUCUCCUGUGUUGAAACCUCCACUUUAUGUUGGAAAGCUACUUCCUAGGUUUGCUUUUCAGAAGCUUGCUGGCCUGCGGAAUGGGCUGGACCAGGGCUGGUUCUUAAAGAACCAGGCAGCUAGCAGUCUCCAGGCUCCAAACUCCUGAUGGCGAAGAGGAAUGCAGAGCUGGAGUUAGUUUUGAUCACUUUGUUGAAUAAUUCACACUCAUUACUAAUCUUAGGGCUUUUCUUUCAAAAUCUGCACCAUGGUGUUUUGCUUUUGUGUUCUCUGUAUAUGCCUAUCCUCCACAUCAAUCCCACAUCGAAGGGUGCUGGCUUCUUACUAGCUGUGUGACCUCUGAGCUUCAUUCCUUACAAGUGUAAAAAUAGCCAAAUGGGGUAAUAGGUAGUAAUUUCUCAAACUCCUGACUUUGUAAUCCGCCCGCCUCAGCCUCCCAAAAUGCUAGGAUUUACAGGCAUGAGCCACCGCGCCCGGCUAAUAGUUAUUAUUUUGUUUUACUGGUUUCUCAAUUAUUGUCCCAGUCAGGCAAGGGUUACUUUUUUUUUUUGAGAGACAGGGUCUCACUACAUUGCCAGACUGGAGUACAGCGGCAGUUUACCAUCACUGCACUUACAAACCUCCAACUCCUGGUGCUCAAGCCAUCUUCCUGACUCAGCCUCUCAAAUACCUCAAAGGACUACCGGAGCUCCCCAUGCAUCGCGCUUUUUUCUACUUUUUCGUAAGCUAUUGGUUUCACCAGAGGUGUGGUGUUUUUUUUUUUCAUCACUUAAGCUUUAGGCCCCUGCCAAGCCCUUGUACCUGAUUUUAUAAUUUCCUACCUGUGUAAUUAGAGAAAGCUAUAAAUGUGUAGGCUUCAAACCCACAAAACCUGUGUUUGCCUCUGCUCCUAAUAAGGCUGUCCUCAAGAACUCUCAGGAAGUAAGAAGGCAAAUAAUUCUGUGUCUGGAAUUGGUUCCUUCU
rnacentral:lncRNA from 10 species